rnacentral:rRNA from 1 species
GAUGAACGCUGGCGGCGUGCCUAAUACAUGCAAGUCGAGCGAACGGACGAGAAGCUUGCUUCUCUGAUGUUAGCGGCGGACGGGUGAGUAACACGUGGAUAACCUACCUAUAAGACUGGGAUAACUUCGGGAAACCGGAGCUAAUACCGGAUAAUAUUUUGAACCGCAUGGUUCAAAAGUGAAAGACGGUCUUGCUGUCACUUAUAGAUGGAUCCGCGCUGCAUUAGCUAGUUGGUAAGGUAACGGCUUACCAAGGCAACGAUGCAUAGCCGACCUGAGAGGGGGGUCGCCCACCCUGAACUUGAACACCGUCCCCAGCCCCUAGGGGGGGACGCGUUGGGAAUCUUCCCGAAUGGGGGGAAACCCUGCGGAACCAAGCCCCGGGGGUGGAGAAAGUCUUCGGAUCGUAAAACCCUUUUUUUUGGGAAAAAAAAAUUUGUAAGUAAACGGGCACAACUUGGCCGGUCCCAAUACAAAAGCCCCGGCCAACCUCGUG